AAGUAUACAAACCCUUCCCCCUUGAACUCCUGACCUACAAAAGUCUACAAACCCUUCCCCCUUGCCGCGUACUGUCUCUCCUAGUUUCCUUCCUGCACAAUUCCGCUGU